rnacentral:rRNA from 1 species
UACGUAGGGGGCCAGCGUUGUCCGGAAUCAUUGGGCGUAAAGCGCGUGUAGGCGGCCCGGUAAGUCCGCUGUGAAAGUCGGGGGCUCAACCCUCGAAUGCCGGUGGAUACUGUCGGGCUCGAGUGCGGAAGAGGCGAGUGGAAUUCCUGGUGUAGCGGUGAAAUGCGCAGAUAUCAGGAGGAACACCGAUUGCGAAGGCAGCUCGCUGGGACGUUACUGACGCUGAGACGCGAAAGCGUGGGGAGCAAACAGG